rnacentral:lncRNA from 1 species
CACGUGUGGUCGGCAGGGUGGGCUGGCAAAGGAAAGCCUGCUGUUACUCGGGUAAACACAUCCUGCUGACCCAUCGGCUCUCCAUGAGGAGUCAGGCACUCUUACAAUCUUCAUUUUGUGGAGGAGGAAGCUGGGACUCAGAGAGGAGCUGGAGAAGGAAGCACACAUGAGCCGAGCGCUGGUGUCUGGAGGGCCAGGUGGAAGCCGAGCCGAGCACGGGAGGGUUUCUGUUAGUUGCAUGGUGUUCCGGCUCCAGACCGAGGUGUGACCGCCAACCACGCGGGAGCCGCUGAGCUCCCAGCUCUUACAGGAACGGACGAGGCCGCCUUUUUUUGGACGUGGGAGGCGAGCGGAAGAGGCCUUCGGUGUCAAGCUUCUUACGUUCCCCAGGCUCUGGUCCUAGUUUACGUCAUCAAAGCUGACCUGGGGGGAAAGGGGAAAGAGGAAACCGUGUGUCACGUGACUGCAGGCAAGUCUGCUUUCAGCCGCUCCGUUUUCCUGACUUGCUCAUCCUUGGAAAAUCAUCUACCGAGAGCUUUCCUGCCCUGAACACCUUCCCUGCCAAGGUCUUCCUCAUCCUUCCGGGACCAACAUCAGUAUUCCCCCUCUCUGGGGAUUUCUGCAAGAGGCCCCCUCCUCUGACUUCCCGUGGACGCUGCUCUGUGGCUGCAAAGCUCUUUGUAUUCAGGGGAUCUGAUUCACCUUGCCAGGCCCAAAGCCUCACCCAGCACGCGGCAUCCUGCAGCUAGGAAGUGCCUGUCGAUAGGUUGGCAGAAUGAACGCAUUAUUUAGUUUUUUUAGAGGGCCAAGCUUGUGCUGAAAGAGUCUGACAGUCUUUUUCUUUUUUAAUUCUUUUAAGGUUUUUUUUUUUUUCAUUUUUGAGAGAGAGAGAGAGAGAGAGAGACAGAGCGUGAGUGGGGGUGGGGCAGAGAGCGAGAGAGACACAGAAUCCCAAGCAGGCUCCAGGCUCCGAGCUGUCAGCACAGAGCCCGACGCGGGGCUCGAACUCACGGACCGGGAGAUCGUGACCUGAGCCAGAGUUGGUCGCUCAACCGACUGAGCCACCCUGGCGCCCCUGGAUGCAUUAUUGACCAAGGCUUAUGUAUUGAAUGACCCGUCUUGACUAUUGGAGCUUCAUGAUCUCCAGGGUCUUAGGAUCUUCCACUGAUUAGUGAAGAUAGGUAAAAUUUUUGAGUUUUUAACCCAGAAUAUAAAAGCGCAUGUAAGAUGCCCUUAGUUUAUCCUCCAGAUAGAGCGUGACAGACCCAGGACACCACACGGGAACCACAAAGACACGUCGGAAAGAAAACACUAAGGGUGAUGGUCGAACAACAAAAAUUGUCUGCAUUUUCAAGGCGUUAUUCCUUAACGGGUUGAUUCAGAGCUAAGGAAACCGUCCGUGCCUUAAUACUAUGCGCGAUAACUGCCUAGAAGCAUCUUCACGUCAGACAGCUUGAUUGACAUGUAAUAG